AUGGGCGGCCGCGCCGGCACCCACCUCAUCCCUUCCUACACUCGUUACCCCUCCGCCGCCGUCACCGCCAUCGCCGCUGCAAACCAUAGCGCGGGGAGCUUUGGCUUCGCCUUCGUCGGUGCUCCUCCAAGCACCGGUAUCGCAUGGCCUUUUCAUGCCGCCACGGACAACCACGCCGGUGGUUUGAACGAUGAGGCAUAUAUGUCAACUAUGGUUGUUGGCUCCAAAAAUUCUCAUCGGUCUCAAACCAAUGACAUGCUUUUCGGUGAUCAUGAGUUUGAGGUGGACGAGGGUGGUGAGGGCAUCGUCGACGCACCAAAAGGAAGAGGAGGCAACUACACCAUGAAUGAAGACAUCUUGCUAUGCAAUACUUGGUUGCAAAUGUCGAGGGAUCCCGUCGUUGGAGGGGAUCAAAGUAGAGAUGCAUAUUGGAACCGGAUGAAGGAGCACUUUGAUCUACAUAACAGAAGUGGAAUUGACCGCUCGAAAAUAUCUCUUCGCUCCCGGUGGUCGACAAUAAACCGAGAUUGUCAAAGGUGGGCGGCCGCACUUAAGGGGGUUGACAAGUUGAACCCAAGUGGCACUAAUAAUAUAGAUAGGCUCAAUAUUGCACAAAACUUGUUCAAAGGAGAGGAGAAGAAGACCAAGAAAGGGAAGAUCAAGAAAUGGAGACCAUUUACCUUGCCUCAUUGCUAUGAAGAAUUGAAGGAUGAUGAGAAAUGGAAGAAGCAUGAUGGUAUCGAUGAUGUUGGUGAGAGCAACAAACGCAAGCGAACUAUUGAUUUGGAUGAUGAGGAGGAGGAGGCAUCAAGUGAUGACGGCAAGAGAAGCCCUACACCAAACUUGGUUUCAUACUCCAAGCCAAAAAGACCGGAUGGAUGCAAGAAAGACGCAAAAGAAAAGAAGAAGAGGAAAGGAGAUGACGAGCUCAAAAAUGCUAUGGAAGCUAUUGUGAAGGCAAGAAAGGAAACGAACGAGGUGAGGAAGAUGGCAAGGAACCAAGAUGCCGCAGAUGAGGAGAGGAGGUUGGCGACCAAGGAGAGGAGGGUGGCGGCCGAGGAGAGGAAGGUGGAAUUGGAGGAGAGGAAGGUGGCAAUGGAGGAGCGAGCUAGGUUGUUGGAAUGGGAGAAGUACUUGUUCAUCACGGACAAUCUAGAAGCAAAAUGA
rnacentral:rRNA from 1 species